CCCUUAGAUGUCCUGGGCUGCACGCGCGCUACACUGAUGUGUCCAGUAAGCACCUAACCUCUUCCGAAAGGAACGGGUAACCUUUGCAAAGCACAUCGUGAUGGGGAUAGAUUAUUGCAAUUAUUAGUCUUGAACGAGGAAUUCCUAGUAAGCACAAGUCAUCAGCUUGUGUUGAUUACGUCCCUGCCCUUUGUACACACCGCCCGUCGCUCCUACCGAUUGAAUGUUCCGGUGAGCUCUUCGGACUGCGCGGUCUGCAGUUUCUGCGUUCCGUGCGGAAAGUUGCGCAAACCUUAACAUUUACAGGAAGGAGAAGUCGUAACA
rnacentral:rRNA from 1 species